AGGGUGACAGCCCCGUACACAAAAAUGCACAUACUGUGAGCUCGAUGAGUAGGGCGGGACACGUGGUAUCCUGUCUGAAUAUGGGGGGACCAUCCUCCAAGGCUAAAUACUCCUGACUGACCGAUAGUGAACCAGUACCGUGAGGGAAAGGCGAAAAGAACCCCGGCGAGGGGAGUGAAAAAGAACCUGAAACCGUGUACGUACAAGCAGUGGGAGCACGCUUCGGCGUGUGACUGCGUACCUUUUGUAUAAUGGGUCAGCGACUUAUAUUCUGUAGCAAGGUUAACCGAAUAGGGGAGCCGAAGGGAAACCGAGUCUUAACUGGGCGUUAAGUUGCAGGGUAUAGACCCGAAACCCGGUGAUCUAGCCAUGGGCAGGUUGAAGGUUGGGUAACACUAACUGGAGGACCGAACCGACUAAUGUUGAAAAAUUAGCGGAUGACUUGUGGCUGGGGGUGAAAGGCCAAUCAAACCGGGAGAUAGCUGGUUCUCCCCGAAAGCUAUUUAGGUAGCGCCUCGUGAAUUCAUCUCCGGGGGUAGAGCACUGUUUCGGCAAGGGGGUCAUCCCGACUUACCAACCCGAUGCAAACUGCGAAUACCGGAGAAUGUUAUUACGGGAGACACACGGCGGGUGCUAACGUCCGUCGUGAAGAGGGAAACAACCCAGACCGCCAGCUAAGGUCCCAAAGUCAUGGUUAAGUGGGAAACGAUGUGGGAAGGCCCAGACAGCCAGGAUGUUGGCUUAGAAGCAGCCAUCAUUUAAAGAAAGCGUAAUAGCUCACUGGUCGAGUCGGCCUGCGCGGAAGAUGUAACGGGGCUAAACCAUGCACCGAAGCUGCGGCAGCGACACUAUGUGUUGUUGGGUAGGGGAGCGUUCUGUAAGCCUGUGAAGGUGGCCUGUGAGGG
rnacentral:rRNA from 1 species